rnacentral:misc_RNA from 1 species
AGUAUUGGGGAGGAGAUCGAAUGGUGGCGCUGGCUAGCGGCCGCCGUCGCAACUAUUUUGCGGGAAUAACAAUUCCGCCGCUAGUAUUCGUUCAGCCAUGGAGGACGAAGACUUGAGGCUCGUGAAAGGUAUGUGGAAUAGUUAUCUGCUCGAAAAGCAUCUGCAGGGGGGGUAGCAUUAGUCCCUGCUUGUCUCGCUUUGCUUUAAAUGUCGCCGCUAUCUCGUUCGAAGCAAAAACCAACCCACGUCUAGCCGCUAGCGAUUGGCCGCGUCGCUCCGGCUGCGCGUGCCAGGUCGUGCGUGAUUGACGCGGUGUGGCGAUGUUUGUGCGCUUCCUAGGUUGGAGAAACCGUACUCGCGGAACUCGCGCAUUGCUUUUCAGUGUCCUUGUCACUUGCAACAACAAUCAGCCAUAUCGGCGAGAGCAAGAGAUGCCUCGUUGAAGGCGAAGACGUAUCGAAGUCCGAUCAUGUGAUAGAGUGCAGCGUCGCCCCGGAGCUGACGGCUGACAGCGUCCGCAUCGUCGGAUACGUCCUCCAGUCCUGCGCUCUGCACAGCGAUCCGCAUACAGUGCAUCUCACUCUGAACAAAGGGGAGAUUGUCUCUCUGUGCUGCACGUGCCCUGCAGGGCAAGAAUGCACGUUUCCACUGCGUUUUUUUUUAACGAGAGGGGUUAGGCGAUAAACCACGUUUUAUUAGACGACAUCAGUUCCUUCAUCGUUCUCUUAAUCUGCAAGGUAGUUUUGUUAUGAAAUGUUGCACUGCCUAGGCAUUCCGUAGUUAAGAACUGAUUUAAGUGAGGAAAUCUACGAGGUGUUGUAGAAGUGGUGUAGAAUGCAAGAGAUAUAACAGAUGUGUGUUUGUGCUGCCCCCAGAAAGUCAAGCGAAUGCAAGCACUGCACUGCUGUCCUGCUGAAAACCAACAGGAUGCAAGAGCUUCCAGUUGUCAAGCACAGACUUGCCGCAGGCUUGGGGCCAGCAUGCGAAGGAUGUCGUCAAGACCAAGUAUGCAGUGAGGUCUCUCAUGGAGAUCCCCUUCUGCCCAAAGUUCAAGCGACCUGCCUUGCCAGCCGUCGAGCGUUGUGUCGUGGACAGACUUAUGGAAGGCCUUCCGCACAUCUGUCCUGUCGCUAUUCACAAAAGGAAGAGAACACGAAAAGAGACAGGUGGAGCCAGCACUUCAGCAGCUGUGCCUCGACCCUGAAGCCUGCUUGAAGCGCUUCAGGACCUGCCUGAGGAGGAGACCGAAAACCUGCUGGAGCAACUCAAGCGCAUAAUGACACGAGAGGCUAUUGCGGAAGUUGAGCGCAUGACAAGGGCACAGGCCUCAUCAUCUGAUUGGAUGCUGUACAGGAGGGGAGAGGCUCGCCCCUCCCCCCCCGGACGCCGCUGAUGCGGUACCAUGGUGCUAGGCCCCCAUGGCCGAUAUUCACCAAGCUUCUCCAGACGCCUAACACUUAUUUUUUCACCUGGCUCUCGAGUAAGGGGCUCUUUAUUUUAAUAAAGAUUUGUCCUCCUGCCCAAGUGUGAAUCUUUCUGCUUGACCAACACUGCUUUUUCAUCAAGUUCCGCCAAAAUGUUAUGACCCUAAAGGUGAAAACGGCAGAACACGCACAAAAUGAAUACAACAGCAUAGGUGGCAACUAUACCAAAGCAUAACUUCCAUAAAUGUUUCCAGCAAUGGAAG